rnacentral:rRNA from 1 species
CUAACACAUGCAAGUCGAACGGUAACAGGAAGAAGCUUGCUUCUUUGCUGACGAGUGGCGGACGGGUGAGUAAUGUCUGGGAAACUGCCUGAUGGAGGGGGAUAACUACUGGAAACGGUAGCUAAUACCGCAUAACGUCGCAAGACCAAAGAGGGGGACCUUCGGGCCUCUUGCCAUCGGAUGUGCCCAGAUGGGAUUAGCUAGUAGGUGGGGUAACGGCUCACCUAGGCGACGAUCCCUAGCUGGUCUGAGAGGAUGACCAGCCACACUGGAACUGAGACACGGUCCAGACUCCUACGGGAGGCAGCAGUGGGGAAUAUUGCACAAUGGGCGCAAGCCUGAUGCAGCCAUGCCGCGUGUAUGAAGAAGGCCUUCGGGUUGUAAAGUACUUUCAGCGGGGAGGAAGGGAGUAAAGUUAAUACCUUUGCUCAUUGACGUUACCCGCAGAAGAAGCACCGGCUAACUCCGUGCCAGCAGCCGCGGUAAUACGGAGGGUGCAAGCGUUAAUCGGAAUUACUGGGCGUAAAGCGCACGCAGGCGGUUUGUUAAGUCAGAUGUGAAAUCCCCGGGCUCAACCUGGGAACUGCAUCUGAUAC